AAUAGAAUAAGAAAAAAAAUAGAAAUUAUGAGCAACUUCGUAACAGUACGAUAAAAGCAGAAGCCUUACCUUAUCUGGUGAU